UGUGUGUUUGUUUGUUAAGGAAUAUAAUUCUGGUUGUCCUUUAUUAUGAGAGCGGAUCCACUCUUCUGAGAGCUGCUUUUGUUAGUGCUAGAGUCUGCACGUCGGUCCCAUUGGGUACGUCAGCCUGUUUGCUUGCGCGGAGCGAGCCUGGUUCAGUCGCUGGCAGUAAAGGAUUUUCAGCUCGUUUUUCCAUAUAGCAACCAGUGUUUACUCUAUCUGUUUUUGCUCUGACAAAGGAAAUUCGUAAUCUUUCCCAGCGUUCACAAUUUCAUACUAAUCAUUUGGGACACUACUUUGUUUAAUUCCUCACCGUUUUCAAAGGUGUAUGAGAUUUUCGGAGAUGAUAUCCUGUGUCUCCUCUUCCCCCUUCCUCUUUAAUAUGCACCCUUAUAAAAUACCUCGCUGAGACACUUAGUUUGCUGUACAGGUAGGGCAAGUUUUUCUCCCCUCAUAGCCCAGUCUGGGUGAGGCUGCCUCGUCCCCCCGUCUGUGAGCAGUCAUGGAGGACUGCAGGAGGAAAGCCUACUUUGGCUCCUGCUCAGUAAUCCACAAGAACGGUGUGCCGUAUGGAAAACUGUACUCAUGUCACUGAAGCCCAAACCAGUAUUUACACUUUUGGCAAGCUUUGCUGUCUAAGUCUUCUGUGUCCAGAGCAUUGAGCACACCAGUGGGUUCGCUGAGCAAGCGGACGCUCUUUGCUGAGACUCGCGAUAGAUGAUUACAUCGCUCAGUUCCCCCUCCCGGCCUUGCGGGGCGUAGUGCAGUACGCCUGCUGCUUCAGAGAUGGAGAAAGUACAGGUGUAAAUCGAUCCUCACAGACUUCUACGGGCAUUCACCCAUGAAAGGCAGUCAUCUUUUUUUUUUUAACAGGAAAGUCAGCAAUUCAAAAUGGUUAGAAAUCACAUAGUAAUGCCAAGAAAAGAAAUGGGAGGAAAAAGUCUUCAAGAGAUGGACUGACGUGGGAAAGUGACGAUGGAGGAGUCCCUGGAAGAGAAAGCAGCUUUGCAGGAAAGGCCCAGCCAGACGCAGGCAGGGAUGGCCCGAGGGCUGGGGUUGCUCGCCGCUGCUUGGCGCUGCUGGCACCCGACAAGAUGCUGGGGCCAAGCAGGGGGCUCACCAGCGCAGGACAGGCAUUGCAAUAGUGCAGCAUAAUAAUUACUAGCAUAAAUGCAAUUAUUUUUCCUUCUGAUGUUAAAUGGCAUUUUAACUGAGUAGCUUUUUCCCUGGUGGAUGGCUUCCAUCCAGGAAACUUCCCAAUAUCCAGGCUUCCAAAUAACAACCAUCCAUAAACUGUCAAAUGUGGAUGCGAUAUAUUUUAACCCCAUCCUGUUACCUGAAUCCCACCUGUUAAAGAUUUCACACAGUCCAAAAAAAAUGAAAACAAAUUGAAGAUACCAUGUGGUACUGGAGGUGUGCCUGACUUUUUUUUUUCCAAAUAGUCUUAUUAUCCUGGAGAGGUUAAAAAUCUGGUGGCAUGGGGUCUUCUCUUCAGAAGGACAGAAAGUAGUAGCAAUACUGAAAUGUGGGUUUGAAUGGAUAGAGUGGCCUUAUAUCAGUAAUUGUGGUGAUAUAUUCAGAAAAUCAGGUCCCCAGAAAAGUUAAUUUGCAAUCUUGAUUUUUGGCAGGAAUUGGAAAUUAAAGUUACACAUCAUGGACUGCUUUAGGUUUUCAUCGAAAGGAGAAGUAUUGUUUGUCAGGUAGUAGCUAGAGUGGAUGUGAGCGGUUUUCUGUGUCAAAGCAGUCCGUAUUUCUUUGGGAUGAUGGACUGCUCAAGAGGUACCGGGUUCUUUGGGUUUCAGCCGAAGGAAAAGUAUCAUUAGGACUUUUUCAGGAACUCACAGAGCUGCAGCUGGCAGAUCUUCCCAGGGUCUCACUCCUGGUGGCUGCUCUUCUCCCAGUCGUAGCUGCUGAAAGCCUGGCGACAGGUCCCAGUGGUGCUGCGGAUGCCGAUGUCUGUUGGUCAGAACCGGCGGCUCCGGAGCUUGUCUCCCGUCCCAGCCUUCCAGGAGCCGACUGCUCAGCUCUGCCCUGCCCCCAGCACAGCUGGCUGCUGGCUUGUCCCGCACGUUUUGGUAGUGAGAGCAGCAAUUCGAUGGUAAUCGUAACUCCGUUACCGCUCAGCAUGGUGGAGUCCAGCAGUCUGCUGGUCUGGGUCUGCGCUGCGCUUCUGCAUUUGCGUGCAUUUAAUCAACGUCUUAUAUACCGUGUCUUCCAAAUUCCUCUGUGUUGCUUUCUUCUGUUAAAACAGUUCCUAGUUGGCUAAUUACUCUACCCAUAUGCUGAACCUGCAUGCAAACUUCGUUCAACAAGAGCUGUGUAUGUUCACAGUAUGUCCUCCAAUGCCACAGUCAGGAGCUGUUCCCCAUCUGCGCGUAUUCCUCUGUGCAGUAGAUGGUGUUUUGCAUGGACAUCCCGUGCCUUAGCUGUUUACCCAUUACUUUUAUAACACUGCGACAGCAGUUACACUUAAUGUUUUAAGGUCUGCAUGGUACCGAUGUACAUUACUACUGGAUGGCACCUUAGGAGGUCUAAUGUAUCGGGUUAUGCUCCAGCUACUUUCCAAGUAGAACAUGAGUGCCAUCUGAGCAACAAAAUGCCUUCUACUGUUCAUAUGUGUGACUUAGCAAAAGCUGAAAACUUUGUCCCAGAAGAGUUUGAGAAGUGCUGUUGUUCACGAGAAAGUGCUGCUGUCGAGGGUGCCCCAGCAGGGCUGUGAAAAGACCACUUUCCAUCUGACACAGCCGCGCUGGCAAAAUACUGCUGCGAACUUCGGUUGGUUUAUUAUGUUCCUUGCUGCCUGGAAAGGUGCUGUUUUACCAUGUCAGAUUUAUGAAGACGAUAUCUUAAGCUUUAAGUUAAGUAAAAUUAUACUCUGCAUACCAAGUCUCACAGCAUCUCUCAUUAGGGUUUGAUAUCCACAUUGUCCCUUUGACUUGGUAAGUCAGAGACUCCCUGAUAAUUGCACAGGAGUCUGUAAUUCUCCAUUUUAGGGAUUCCGAGACUGUUAGGUGGUACUGGUGGCUCCGUUCUUUGUUCUGUUUUCUGCUGAAUGGACCUUUUUCAGCGUGUUUGAAGUUUCCUUGGCUGCUCCUUGAUGGGAUGACGUUAGCCUCGAUGGAGGUGCUCACUGUCUUAGUGCAGUGUUUGACAUCCAGAGCCGAGUGAAGCAGGGCCAACAAUUCCAUGAGCACUUGAAGCUGGCAUUGCCACAGAGAGCAGCAGUCUUGCUUCCACUGCCUCUUGCUGCUUGUUCUGCCCACCCAGCUCCUCUUGAAUCUUUGCCAGCUGGAGUGUUCGUGUGGCUGUAGGGUGACAUGGAUUAGGGAAUCAAUACGACUGUGAAAACACCUCUCUUAUUUGCAUUCAUUGACAGGAUUGUUUUCGGCUGCAUCAAUUCCUUGUUUUAUUUCUUUUCAUUAUUUAUUUAUUUAUUUAUUUAUUUAUUGCAUGGCCUGGUACAAUGAUAAGGGAGUUGAAAAGGAGGAGAAGAUAAGUGGAUGAGUAGGAGCAGAGAGAAGGUUGGCAGUGCCAUUUUGUAUGUUCUUAAAGUGUCUGCAGAAUUACAGUCUGUGGUGGUUUUUCCCUUUCUCUUCCCUAAUCUGUAACCGAGGGCAUACAGUUUACAUGACAGUAUGAUAAUUCUUUUUUCAUUUCCUUUUUUUCAUGCACGAUAGAGGAAUGCUUUGUUCGUGUAGUUCAGAUUUUGUUGCUUAGAAGAGCUGUGCCAUCACGAAAAAAACCUUGCUGGCACAUGCUGUUCCUACAUACUUCUGUCCUGGGUUUGACAGAAACACCACUGUAUGAGGAAGCCUCCAGAUUCAGCAGCCCAUGGGUGGGUGCACUGUAAGUGAAAUAAUCUGUUGUCUACAUUGCAUCUUUACAGAGCUAUCUCCUUCCUGUUUCGGACUUUCACAGUUGGAAAUACUGGAAGAGUCUUUGUCAGAAACCUCUAAGGAGGUCCUUCCAGGUCUGAAGGAGAGAACCUGGCGUGACUCAGCCGGAGCAGUGAGUCACUGGGCUCUCACUGCAAAACUCCACCUGUGGGUUGCAGAUUUGGUUACACCAGUCCACACAGCUGAUAAGGUUUCCUUAGUAACUGGGAGGAUGUGAUCGGUGGUGUUCUGACGAGAAAUCUGCUUGCCCUGGAUGGAUCAGUUUCUUCUCCCCGGGUACUGGUGAAGAGCGACCAGGCCCCACAGCUUCCCGGGCUGUCUGCCUCCCACAGAGACCCCUUGCUAGUUCUGCACUGCUUUGGUCGAUCCGAUGUUCCAGUUCUCACCUCUUGCACCCGGCGUAUUGUGCAGCCUUUUCAUCAGAGCCUAAUGUGGGUGAUGAUCAUAGCACAAAAACUGCAUGUUGUCCUGCUUUUCUCUAUUGCUUUUGCAGGUAACAAAACACAAGAAAAAAAAAAGGCAGACUCUCUAUGCCAUCUAUGCCCUAAAGAAACUAGCUCCCAGGGCUGGAUCAGACUAAUGCAGAUACCUUUCCAUUCUAACAAAGGUUGUCCUACUGCAAAAUCAGUCCUCAGCUGAGGGAAGUUUAAUGUGAAUACUUCCGUUAAGUGGCUGUUGAUGUUUUGAUCCUCAAAAGAAUCAGGCAACUUAGGCUGUUGAUUGCUGCAGAGUCCCUUGUUUGACUACCGUCCUCAAUAAAAAAGCAUGAACUUUU